UAUAGUGAAUUUUGUUGGCGCAUGUAUGAUUGUUUAGUUUUUACWUUUUUGGUAAUGCUUUGUGUUUUAUACAUUUAAAACAGAUAUAUAUUUGGCUUAUGGAUUUAUUUUUCAUGUGUUACUAUUGUUAAUUUUCUUUGGAUUAAUUUUUAAUUUUUUUGUUGAAAUUGSAAAAGAAAGUAAUUUUUUCUUAAUGUAAUAAUGAAUUUAAUAAAUA
rnacentral:rRNA from 1 species